GGGGAUGACAUUGGUUUCGACGGGGAUACUGAAUUUAGAAUAGCGAGCCGUUUUCGUCUAAAAACGUUAAACAAGGACAAAAAAAUAUAAACGCUGAAGAUAAUAAUUUAGCAUUAGCUGCUUAAUAGCAGUCUAAUUAAUAGCCCAUUUGAGCUUUCUCGCAGCUUAAAUUAAGGCUUCAAAUUAGCGAGACACUUAAUAGAGAAUGCUUUGGCUCUAUUACAGUAAUAAAAGCUACUUGAUGUACAAAUUUGUUAAUUGUUUUGUACUUUCAGGGAAUCUAAUACAAUUAACUGCGCUCGGAGAAAUUCUCUUGGAUGUAUUUUCGGACGUGGGUUCAACUCCCACCAUCUCCACCA
rnacentral:tmRNA from 1 species